UACGUAGGGUGCGAGCGUUGUCCGGAAUUAUUGGGCGUAAAGCGCACGUAGGCGGUUCGUUAAGUCGGAUGUGAAAGCCCCUCGGCUCAACUGAGGAAGUGCACCCGAAACUGGCGAGCUUGAGUACGAAAGAGGAUCGCGGAAUUCCCGGUGUAGAGGUGAAAUUCGUAGAUAUCGGGAGGAACACCGUGGCGAAGGCGGCGAUCUGGGUCGAUACUGACGCUGAGGUGCGAAAGCGUGGGGAGCAAACAGG
rnacentral:rRNA from 1 species